ACUUUUGUUAUCAGUUUUCUAGGCACUCACAGCUAUUUCUUGCUCACAAUUUCCAACAUUACUUAAAAGUGCUCGGAGUUUCCGCAAAAGAACACCCCAUUUCUACAGACAUUAGCAGCCGAGAGCAUACAUACUUAAACAAUGAUUUCCUGAACAAGAAGCACAUUGAUGGUAAGUAGAACUUCUUAAUUUUCAAAGUUUUUCAUUUGGUUAACCACACACCCAAUAAUCCUUUGGGAGAGAUGCUCCUAGAGAUACAGAAAUAUUAGAUUUAGGCAGACAUUGGAUUAACCAAUCUACAGCUCGUAAAAUCAAGAAAUACUAGAGAAAAUGGGAAUGUGUCAUAAAAGAAGACCCUACAAAGUGCAUCUAUAAAUGAUAGAGUAAAAACCUGCAAUCAGGGACUAUAAAAAGACUAAUACAAGAAUCCCAGCGCAGAGUGAAAUCAAUCAAAAUCACAGAAAUCUGGGGACUGAAAUUACACAGAGCACACCAUGCUUUAAUGCUUGCUUUCUUAUUUCCUUACCUUUGAAAUCUGAACCCCCGAUUUUGUGGUAUAUGUGUAUAAUUACACUGUAUUGAACUGACCAUACCCCUGUUUAACCUCAGUGGAUGUGUGGGAGUUCUGACUAAUACCUACUAAAACUUAUCAAUGGCCACAGCUGGAGACACGGGAAAAAUCCUCUCAAAUACAACAAACUAUCUUUAAGAAAUCAAAAAAUCUGAUCACAAGCAUGUAUUUAUAACUGACUGCUCAUUGAUUUGACAUUAAAAAAUAAACAGCACAUCAUAUUCAGCCAAGAUUGCCAACUGCUGUUUGAUAUUGCAUCUGCAUCUGAGAGAAAGCUGCAGAUGGUUCAAACUGGUAUUGCAAUUUGUUGACUGAUUGCAGACAGCCGGCAAUAAACUCUGAUGACCGGUAAAUUAACCAGUUAUCCAAUUUUUACAUAAUUCCUGCCUCUCAGCAGUCCAGCCAACAGUAAUUUAAUUGUUUACUGUUUAAACUAAUUGCUUCGAAUAUCAUCAUGCAAAUAAUUAAGUCUGCUCUCCGACCAUACACAACAAGUUGAACAGCUCUCUGGAGAAUUCAUACUGCACAGGAAUAGAGAAAAAAGAAGUAAAUUGCAAGAAAAGAACUGAUCAAUUCUGCCUCAUUUCCCUCGGGGUGGCUUGAACUCCUCUAAGACAGACUUGAUAUUUACAUCAGUCUCUUGACAUUUGUCUUUUUCCUUCUUUUUCUUAAAGAUUUACAUCUCUUAAGAGCAUUAGCUUCAAAUUGCAGGAGAAAACUUUUGGGCACUGUCUUUCAGUACACUGGUACUUACUAUGAUAGCCAUUUCAUCAUAAAAAAAAUCUGCACUUCAUAAUCAUCCAAAGUAGAUUUCUUUCCUUACUUAUACAAGUAAUAGGUUGUAGGUGCCAUGUUAUUGGUUCACUGCUUUUUUAAAUGAUGAGUAAAUGGUUGGAAGCAUAAAAUGUUGAAGGGACAGCAGUCAUCAUGACAAGAGAGGUCACAAUCUUACAAAUUGUCUGAAUGCAUGGUUACAUCAUCAAAUAGC
rnacentral:misc_RNA from 1 species